rnacentral:rRNA from 1 species
UACGUAGGGCGCAAGCGUUGUCCGGAAUCAUUGGGCGUAAAGCGCGUGUAGGCGGCCCGGUAAGUCCGCUGUGAAAGUCGGGGGCUCAACCCUCGAAUGCCGGUGGAUACUGUCGGGCUAGAGUGCGGGAGAGGUGAGUGGAAUUCCUGGGUGUAGCGGUGAAAUGACGUAGAUAUCAGGAGGAACACCUGUGGCGAAAGCGGCUCACUGGACCAUAACUGACGCUGAUGCACGAAAGCUAGGGGAGCAAACAGG